CUUCUGUGAAAAGAAAGCUAAAUUUGCAAGAGUGAACCAGGAAUCUACUGACUUGAGCUCAAACAAGGGAACUGCAUGGACAGCAGAGGUGGGAAUGAGCUGGUGGUUGACAAGAUACUUUGGCCAGAGGUAGAAAAUGGUUUCAUUCAGCUUUCAGGCGAUGGCCGCUGAGGUUGCUCAAAGUAUCUUUGGUCAGCGUCCUUCCUUAUGUUCUGACUGUGACCCUCAAAGGAAGGAAGUUACCAGCACAACAUGCGUUUGCAUCCAGAAAUUUCAAAAUCAGCAGAAGGUAAAGUUUACAGUUUUUUGUCCACUGCUUCUACCAAAACAUAUCUGUAGUAAACGCAGACAAACCUCUUCAGCUGUUGACUCUGCCAGCUCCUUAGAACAAACAUUUCUUCAAAUUUCAUGUGAACAUAAAAGUCUCACCAAUAAUGUUGAAAAGCAAGGAAUUUCCUUAGCAGUUUCUGCUCAUAGCACGGCAGAAUAUUUGAGACUGUAUUUUAUAACUUUACACAAUCCACAGACACACCAACUUUCUAGAAAAUGGUCAUCAUUUUAAUGCACAAUUAAUUUGAUUGUGAUUUUGAACUGCUGGUCAUCGGUCUCUCUACUGGUGUUACACAGGACACAUGCCUCCUGGUCUGUGAGUCCAUUUCACUCAUUACUCAUGCUUAGCAAAGACACGCAGCAGCUUCUGUUUCUGAGACAAAGCAGAAAUAAACUAUACUUGUAUGUAUUUUGUGAUGGAAGA
rnacentral:lncRNA from 1 species